rnacentral:rRNA from 1 species
GUGUCAGCCGCCGCGGUAAGACAGAGGGUGCAAACGUUGUUCGGAAUUACUGGGCGUAAAGCGUGUGUAGGCGGUCGUGAAAGUCGGAUGUGAAAGCCCCGGGCUCAACCCGGGAAGUGCACCCGAUACUGCUCGACUUGAGUACCGGAGAGGUUGGUGGAAUUCUCGGUGUAGAGGUGAAAUUCGUAGAUAUCGAGAGGAACACCGGCGGCGAAGGCGGCCAACUGGACGAGUACUGACGCUGAGACACGAAAGCGUGGGGAGCAAACAGGAUUAGAAACCCCCGUAGUCC